GCGUGCCCACGAACGAAAUGCACGGGCUGCCAUGUUCCAACCUCACGGCAUGAUGCCUAUGAUGGGCGGUGACACCGGACUUCACCCGUCAUUGCAGGCUCAUGGGGCCUCAGUCGGCUCGCCACAGGGCUUCCACAACGCCCUAGGACCGAUGCCGAUGGAGAAUUUUCCAGGAAUGGACGGCGACGCUGCCGGCGCCGGCCAGCCUCCUUCCUCGUCGCACUUCUUCGGAUAAAUUGUACACGAUGUGAUGCAACGUAUCAACGGGGACACUACGGACAGUGGACUGAUCAGAAGCGCCUUCUCUUAGGACAUGUGGUCGAUUUCACCUGUAAUAAACUUUCG